rnacentral:rRNA from 1 species
AAUGAACGCUGGCGGCAUGGAUUAGGCAUGCAAGUCGAACGGGUCCCUUCGGGGACCAGUGGCGCAAGGGUGAGUAACACGUGAGCAACCUGCCCCCGAAUCCGGAAUAAUCCAGGGAAACUUGGUCUAAAACCGGAUGUUGGCUGUUUUCCGCAUGGGAGACCGCCGAAAUAUUCAUAGUUCGGGGAUGGGCUCGCGUCCCAUUAGCUUGUUGGCGGGGUAACGGCCCACCAAGGCUACGACGGGUAGGUGGUCUGAGAGGAUGGUCACCCACACUGGGACUGAGACACUGCCCAGACUCCUACGGGAGGCUGCAGUCGAGAAUCUUCCGCAAUGGGCGCAAGCCUGACGGAGCGAUGCCGCGUGAGGGAAGAAGGCCUUCGGGUCGUAAACCUCUGUCACCCGGGACGAAACAAAUGACGGUACCGGGAAAGGAAGCCACGGCUAACCACGUAG